CAUUCAGGUCUGCCUGAGCCAUGAAGACUGUCUGUGUACUUUGUAUGGCUGCUGCUGACGUCAGCCCUUCAGGUCGCACCUGGCACAAGAAGGUCACUUCCUGCGUGGAUUUCUCCCAUCCCCAGCUUGAGGGCAGAGGAGGUAGUGGGUUGCCAAACGUCUGCCAAAAGUUCCUGUCCACCUGAACCUCGGACUGUGAUCUUAUUUGGAAACAGAGUCUUUGCAGAUGUGGCCUCAAAUCCUGUCAGCUGCUCCUGCCCUGUGACCUCACUCAGCUCCGCUUCCCCCAACUCCAGGUCUGGCAGGAAACAAGCAGGAAAAGGACCUGCAAGUUCAUGGACCAGGAUCCCGGGAGGAGUCCAAUCCAGGACCUGACAUUCAGGGACACUGAUUCC
rnacentral:lncRNA from 1 species